rnacentral:lncRNA from 1 species
GCUGAGGGGGCAACUGGGAGCACUGGGAGCAACUGGGGGGGCAACUGGGAGCGGCUGGGGGGCAACUGGGAGCACUGGGGGGCAACUGGUCCUUACUGGUCCUUACUGGUUGUUAGUAGGUCUUAUUGGUCCUUACUGGUUGUUAGUAGUUCUUAGUGGUCCUUACUGGUUCUUAUUGGUGUUACUGGUCCUUACUGGUCCUUACUGGUGUUACUGGUCCUUACUGGUUUUUACGGCUCUUUACUGGUUCUUCCUGGUUUUUGCUGGUGUUACUGGUCCUUACUGGUGUUACUGGUCCUUAUUGGUCCUUAAUGGUCCUUACUGGUGUUACCGGUGCUACUGGUCCUUACUGGUCCUUACUGGUAUUAGUGGUUGUUACUGGUUGUUACUGGUAUUACUACUCCUUACUGGUGUUACUGAUCCUUACUGGUCCUUACUGGUCCUUACUGGUGUUACUGAUCCUUACUGGUCCUUACUGGUCCUUACUGGUGCUACUGGUCCUUACUGGUCCUUACUGGUGUUACUGAUCCUUAUUGGUCCUUACUGGUCCUUACUGGUAUUACUGGUCCUUACUGGUCCUUAUUGGUGUUACUGGUCCUUACUGGUCCUUACUAAUCCUUACUGGUCCUUACUGGUCCUUACUGGUGCUACUGGUCCUUACUGGUGUUACUGGUGUUACUGGUGUUACUGGUCCUUACUGGUCCUUACUGGUGCUACUGGUCCUUACUGGUGUUAUUGGUCCUUACUGGUGUUACUGGUGCUACUGGUCCUUACUGGUGCUACUGGUCCUUACUGGUCCUUACUGGUGUUGCCGGUGCCCGCUUGCAGCGCCGCCAGCAGCAGCCGCCACAACCCGGUGCAGCUGUGGGACGCCUACGACGGCCGCGUCAGGGGCAGCUUCCGGGCCCACAACCACCUGGUGAG